AGGUGAUUGUGGGGAGGUUUGCCAAUUGACCUGAGUGAAAUAAAAAAAGAAAAAUAGUUCAUUUGUGUUUGGAGGGCGGCCUUCAUCUGAUCUGACCACAUGGAAAAGCUCUCUUUGUGUUGAUGAAGAAUUCUUCAUCUCAAACAAGAUAAACUGAUGUUAAACCCUGGGGGGCACGUCUUCGUU